UACGUAGGGAGCGAGCGUUGUCCGGAUUUAUUGGGCGUAAAGAGCGCGUAGGCGGCUUGGUAAGCCGGAUGUGAAGCCCCCCCGAGCUCAACUCGGGGGCGGCCAUUCGGAACUGCCAUGGCUAGAGUCUGGUAGGGGGAACACGGAAUUCCUGGUGUAGCGGUGAAAUGCGCAGAUAUCAGGAGGAACACCGGUGGCGAAGGCGGGUCUCUGGGCCGAUACUGACGCUGAGGAGCGAAAGCGUGGGGAGCGAACAGG
rnacentral:rRNA from 1 species